GGAACAGUAGCACAGUUUGGUUAGUGCGCUCGGCUCAUAACCGAGUGGUCGUAGGUUCAAAUCCUACCUGUUCCA
rnacentral:tRNA from 1 species